UACGGAGGGGGCUAGCGUUGCUCGGAAUUACUGGGCGUAAAGCGCACGUAGGCGGCGAUGAUAGUCAGAUGUGAAAGGCCUGGGCUUAACCCGGGAACUGCAUUUGAUACUGCAUUGCUAGAGUCCGAGAGAGGGUAGUGGAAUUCCCAGUGUAGAGGUGAAAUUCGUAGAUAUUGGGAAGAACACCAGUGGCGAAGGCGGCUACCUGGCUCGGUACUGACGCUCAGGUGCGAAAGCGUGGGGAGCAAACAGG
rnacentral:rRNA from 1 species